rnacentral:lncRNA from 1 species
GCCAGACAUGGAUACCUUAAUUUUGUAAAACAGAAAGGUUUCGCCGGAGAAGAAAGUUACCAUCGGGACGCUGUACUUCUCCAGUUUCACGCUCGCUCUGGAUUUCCCUCCUGCCCCCCCUUCUCCCCCCAGCAGCACUAAAAGCAAAAGGAUGGUGUGAGGGAAACACAAAGAAGGUCCCUUGCAGAGAAACACAUCCUGACAUCAAGCAUUUUCAUCACGGCUGACAGAGAAAUGGCAUGUUCAAUUUGCACUUUAUUUACAAACGCUAAACAUCUACGCACACAUGCCUACCCACCUUUCAUAUCCCUGUAUCUGAAACCCAAGCGAGGAAAACAGCCCAUGCGCGUGAAGCAAGCGAGGGAAUGUGCCGCUGCCUCAUCCAGCACGUUUACAAAUGGACCAACCACAAAUACACCACAGGGAAAUGUGCUUCUCUGUGUGCCAAAAUGCCAGGAUGUUAAUUCACAGGGAUGGCAAGGCCUGCUGAGAAUCAAGGUCUUCUGGACAUGGCACAGCCUUUGUGCUCCUGAACUCAUAGCAGCCGUGGUUAUCUGCAUGAGACACACGUAUCUCUGUUCAGCGUGUUGGUGUAACUGAGAUAAAUGCCAAGCUGGCUCCCUGCUGUGCGUGGUCCGACACCCCUUGGCCAUAGAGAUUCCAGCUAUUUAAGUUUGGAAAUGACAUUUCUUCACACGUCUUCCAAGAUAGCAAUGUAUGUCAAUCACCGGGAGCUCUGCCAAUGACAAUGCCAAUGGAUUUGAAUUUCCCAUUCAUGCUAGGGUGAAGGGGCUAUCUCUUUGACUUCUCCGACUGGGGCCUUUCAUCUCACCCAGGAAAGUUUAUUUCCCAAGGAAUUUUCUUUGUGGUCUCAAACUUGAAUGACCUUCCUUUUAUAACCUCUGAUAUCACCCAGGGUUUUAUUGCCAGGAAGUACCUCUUAGUUGACAUGCUUAAUACUGGGUUCCUGUGAUCUAUUCUAGGGAACCCCGAAACUUAGAGAGAAAACUGAGGAAAAUGAUCUGGUUUCCAGGUUUGGGAAUACCACUGAACCACUGACCCUUA